AAACUAACAAGGAUUCCCCUAGUAACGGCGAGUGAAGAGGGAAGAGCCCAAGAUUGAAAGCUGGCGUCUUCGGCGUCCGCAUUGUAAUCUCAAGAAGUGUUUUCCGCUUCGGACCAAGCCUAAGUCCCCUGGAAAGGGGCAUCAUAGAGGGUGAUAAUCCCGUACAUGGCUUGGAGCGCCCGAGGCUUUGUGAUACGCUUUCUAAGAGUCGAGUUGUUUGGGAAUGCAGCUCAAAAUGGGUGGUAAAUGCCAUCUAAGGCUAAAUAUUGGGGAGAGACCGAUAGCGAACAAGUACAGUGAUGGAAAGAUGAAAAGAACUUUGAAAAGAGAGUUAAACAGUACGUGAAAUUGCCAAAAGGGAAGGGUAGGAGGUCAGAGAUGCGGCCUGGGAUUCAGCCUUGCUUUUGCUUGGUGUUUUUCCCAGAUUGCAGGCCAACGUCGGUUUUGGGCACUGGAGAAGGGUAGGAGGAACGUGGCACCCCUCGGGGUGUGUUAUAGCCUCCUACUGGAUACAGCGACCGAGACCGAGGACAGCAGCGUACUCGCAAGAGCGGGCCUUCGGGCACCUUUACGCUUAGGGCGUUGGCAUAAUGGCCCUCUACCACCCGUCUAAAAACCGGGGAA
rnacentral:rRNA from 1 species